AGAGUGAACGCUGGCGGUAGGCCUAACACAUGCAAGUCGAACGGCAGCACAGUGGUAGCAAUACCAUGGGUGGCGAGUGGCGGACGGGUGAGGAAUACAUCGGAAUCUACCUUUUCGUGGGGGAUAACGUAGGGAAACUUACGCUAAUACCGCAUACGCCCUUCGGGGGAAAGCCGGGACCAGCAAUGGCCUGGCGCUGAUAGAUGAGCCGAUGUCGAUUAGCUAGUUGGUGAGGUAAUGGCUCACCAAGGCGACGAUCCGUAGCUGGUCGUGAGAGGAUGAUCAGCCACACUGGAACUGAGACACGGUCCAGACCUCCGUAAGGG
rnacentral:rRNA from 1 species